GGGAGACGAGCCCUAAGGUGGAGGAGGGGGUAAUGCAUUUGAUUAGGCCAGGGAGACGAGCCCUCAGGUGGAGGAGGGGGUAAUGCAUAUGAUUAGGCCAGGGAGACGAGCCCUCAGGUGGAGGAGGGGGUAAUGCAUAUGAUUAGGCCAGGGAGACGAGCCCUCAGGUGGAGGAGGGGGUAAUGCAUAUGAUUAGGCCAGGGAGACGAGCCCUCAGGUGGAGGAGGGGGUAAUGCAUAUGAUUAGGCCAGGGAGACGAGCCCUCAGGUGGAGGAGGGGGUAAUGCAUAUGAUUAGGCCAGGGAGACGAGCCCUCAGGUGGAGGAGGGGGUAAUGCAUAUGAUUAGGCCAGGGAGACGAGCCCUCAGGUGGAGGAGGGGGUAAUGCAUAUGAUUAGGCCAGGGAGACGAGCCCUCAGGUGGAGGAGGGGUUAAUGCAUAUGAUUAGGUGUGCCAUUUAGAUGCCAUUCCCACUAAUGGCUAAUAUCAGGUUAGUCACGGGGAGAACAUACUGCAGAGAAUUUACCUAGCUAAUGUUGAUGGUGUUGGAACUCUUCAAACGAUGCGAUGGGGAAAUUUAGAGAACAUCUAAUAACAUUUGCUGUGGGAUUGUGUCAGGUGUUCGCCCCCAGGGCUCCCAGCCAGAUCCAUCCUGUUUUCUCUGUUCUCUCUAGCAGAUUGUCAUUGGCCACAGAGGACCUCCACACACUGUCAAC